rnacentral:rRNA from 1 species
GAUGAACGCUAGCGGCAGGCUUAAUACAUGCAAGUCGUGGGGCAGCAUGAGUGUAGCAAUACAUUUGAUGGCGACCGGCAAACGGGUGCGGAACACGUACACAACCUUCCUAUAAGUGGGGAAUAGCCCAGAGAAAUUUGGAUUAAUACCCCGUAACAUAACGAUGUGGCAUCACAUUGUUAUUAUAGCUUCGGCGCUUAUUGAUGGGUGUGCGGCUGAUUAGAUAGUAGGCGGGGUAACGGCCCACCAAGUCUACGAUCAGUAGCUGAUGUGAGGGCAUGAUCAGCCACACGGGCACUGAGACACGGGCCCGACUCCUACGGGAGGCAGCAGUAAGGAAUAUUGGUCAAUGGACGCAAGUCUGAACCAGCCAUGCCGCGUGAAGGAUUAAGGUCCUCUGGAUUGUAAACUUCUUUUAUCUGGGACGAAAAAAGGCGAUUCUUCGUCACUUGACGGUACCAGAUGAAUAAGCACCGGCUAACUCCGUGCCAGCAGCCGCCGUAAUAC